CCCCCAGUAACGGCGAGUGAAGAGGGAAAAGCUCAAAUUUUGAAUCUGGUGUCUUUGGCACCCGAAUUGUAAUCUAGAGAAGUGUUUUCUGUGUUGGACCAUGCACAAGUCCCCUGGAACGGGGUGUCAUAGAGGGUGAGAAUCCCGUACAUGGCAUGGACUCUGACACUCUGUGAUACACUCUCAACGAGUCGAGUUGUUUGGGAAUGCAGCUCAAAAUGGGUGGUGAAUUCCAUCUAAAGCUAAAUAUUGGCGAGAGACCGAUAGCGAACAAGUACCGUGAGGGAAAGAUGAAAAGCACUUUGGAAAGAGAGUGAAACAGUACGUGAAAUUGUUGAAAGGGAAGCGUUUGAAGUCAGUCAUGUCAUUUGGAAUUCAACCGAGCAGACAUGCCCGGUGUACUUUCCUAUCUGACAGGUCAGCAUCAGUUUUGGGUGGGGGAAAAAGACAUAGGGAAUGUGGCUGUCUCCGGGCAGUGUUAUAGCCCUGUGUUGUAUGCCUCAAUUAAGACUGAGGAGUGCAGCGCGCCUUUUUAGGCCUGGGGUCUUGCCCCUUGAAUCGCGCUUAGGAUGCUGGCAUAA
rnacentral:rRNA from 1 species